AAAUUGAAGAGUUUGAUCAUGGCUCAGAUUGAACGCUGGCGGCAGGCCUAACACAUGCAAGUCGAACGGUAACAGGAAGAAGCUUGCUCUUUGCUGACGAGUGGCGGACGGGUGAGUAAUGUCUGGGAACUGCCUGAUGGAGGGGGAUAACUACUGGAAACGGUAGCUAAUACCGCAUAACGUCGCAAGACCAAAGAGGGGGACCUUCGGGCCUCUUGCCAUCGGAUGUGCCCAGAUGG
rnacentral:rRNA from 2 species